GGAUGGUUUGAGUGCAGAGGAGUUUACAACUAACUGAUCACAACCAGUUACAGAUUUAUUUGUCUUUCUCCACUCCCACUGCUUCAUCUGACUAGCCUUAA
ensembl:misc_RNA Y_RNA Y RNA